CCCGAAGGGGCUCUGGGUGCUGAACACGCUGCAAGUGUAGAGCUUGCGGAGGUCGGCGCGGGUGAUGGCCUGCUUCUGCACCACCGGCCCGGCGCCCUGCUCCUCCAGCUUGCGGAUGACAGCGGCCAGGGAGGUGAACUAUGUUGACAGACUUGCAGAUGAAUAUGCAGCCCAGUAUAUGAAUACAUCUCCCAUCUGCGUGGCAAUGAAACAGCUACAUAUAACUCAACAAAGGAGACAUUGAUUUAGUAAAGUGAGGAUGUAUCCAUCAGCACUAAGUUGCAGCUGUUCUUAAUGGAUUUUAAAAUACAAAAGCUAUUUCACCUCUUAGAUUGUCAUAUUAUGAAAUGUUAGUAAUACUUGCGCAUAUCAAAGCACCAGCUACCACCCAAACCUUGUGAAACGUGAAGGAAGCAUCAAGCCAGCCCCCUUGUGAAGCUCCCUGGUGCCAACCAAAAGCCUAUUUUCCCAGUAUGCUUCUAUUUUAUUUAUUUUUUCCCCACAGAUAUAUUUUGCCGUUACUCACUGCUUGCUUUUUUUUCUUUUUUUUUUUUUUUUCUAAAGCAAUAUUUUUGUUGCCGAAGCCAUGAUUUGUUUCCUGAUUGCUUUGUUUUCAAAAUAAACCAGAGAAAACACGAGUCAUCAUCUUUGUAAGAAAGCACACAUCCAGUGCUUGGCAAAUUAAAAGGCAAGACUUCGCAAAUCACCUUUAUUUUCAGUGUCAAGCAGCUGGAGCAUUUUUGCUUCCAAAAAUAUAGAAGAGCUAUGUUGUCAGACAACUUGGAGAGAGGCAGGUAAUAAAUUGCAUUGUGCUGCAUAAAGGUUUUAAGGGUCUUUUAAAAUGUGCUGCAGGUAAGUUGCCAGGAGAUAUAUUAAUGCUUUUAUUUAGCUGCAUUUCAGUUUGUGUUUGUCUUUGCUUCUCUGGUGUUGAGGGCACUCAGAACAAAUUGGCCGGUCUGUGUGGCACAGUGGUACCUGGUUAAAGUUGCAUUAGUGGUUGUCUGAUUAUUUCUAUGAACUACUGACAAUGAGCAGCCCGGUGUGUUAGUGGCACAAAGUUUACUCUCCGUGGAGGGAGAAAGAGCUCUUUCUAUCCAGGCUGGAAAUCGGUUAGUUUUUAUUUCUU